rnacentral:sRNA from 1 species
GGCCCGUGCCUUUCAGGCAUCCUCUCCUAAAACUCAGUAGGCCGGUCGAAAGACCGGCCUUUUUUUUCCGGUAUC